rnacentral:lncRNA from 1 species
CCCCCUGGGAGGCAAGAGGGCCGCGCCGGACCUCGACGUGCGCAAGGCCUCCCCUGCGGCCCCGGGGGCAAAGGCCGCUGCUUCGGGCCCAAUAUCUGCUGCGCGGAAGAGCUGGGCUGCUUCGUGGGCACCGCCGAAGCGCUGCGCUGCCAGGAGGAGAACUACCUGCCGUCGCCCUGCCAGUCCGGCCAGAAGGCGUGCGGGAGCGGGGGCCGCUGCGCGGUCUUGGGCCUCUGCUGCAGCCCGGGUGAGCGG